UGAGAAAAUCGCAAGGAAGACAGGCGGGUCUGGGCGCAGCGUCGAGGGAUCUGGCGGCUGGUGCGGCGGCUUGCUCCAGUGGCCGCGGUGUCCUGCUCAUCCAGAGAAACAGGGCAUGAGGGAGAGAGGAAAGAGAUGAAAAAGGAGGAGCAGGGGCGCAAGGUGAGGGAGAGGGAUCUGGCGGGUGGUGCGGGGGGCUUCGGUGGCGGCGGCGUCCUUCUCAUCCAGAGAAAGGGAGAGACAGGGCGUGAGGGAGAUAGGAAAGAGAGGAAGAAAGGAGAAGGAGAGGGGGCGCAAGGUGAGGGAGAUGGUCGCCGGCGGUGGCGCCCCCGGUGACCGGCCGGCGGCAGGCCCGAUGGUGUCUGGAGUUUUGGACACCUGCGCGAGCUACCCUGCUGCUGCUAAUUCUUCUCUGCCCACGCCUCUGCUGCUGCUCCUUCUACUCCUCAGAUGCCCAUGCUUGCUCUGAAACAAUCAUUGUUGAAGGACUAAAGGGCAUGAUUUCUGGACCACAGAUGAUGCAUUUUAUUGGCAGGCACAAUCAAGGGCCCAUCAUCUUUCUGCUAUAGGAGCGACUGAACAAUUGCAAAAAUCUAAGCAAGAAGAAGAUAGUUGACCCCACGGACUGCCCCAUGUGCAUGCAGGCAUCCGAAGACUGCACUCAUCUGUUCUUGUUCUGCCCCAAUGUUAGACCGAUCUAGACAGCCACUGGUAUCAACCACAAAUGCAGAGACAUCAAAGAUGUUUGGGUGUUUAAUCCCCCAACUCCACUUCCAGCUUCUCUGCAAACUUUCAUGACGCUGUUGGUUCUUUGGAAAAUCUUGGACUCCAGGAAUGCAUGGGUUUCAGGAAAAAUCGACUCUCACCAGUCGAUGUACUAAAAUGAUGUUGGUCUUUGGCCUGAUUUCUUCUCCUCAAGGUAAACGAUUGUCCUGUAAUACCCCUAUUUCUCCUUAAGUGAAAAUUCAGGUGAGGAAGCCCCCAUCCCCCCUCCUACAUCACCUAGCCUGGUAUCGUAACAAGUUUUAUUUUGAAUGCCUGGAACGUCUAGAAACUUUUCACUAAGUGCCCUCACAAAUCUUAUAAGUAAAUGAUGUUCUCUAUGAAUUUUUAUUUUACAAGCUGCAACUAUGUUACGAUUUUCUCCCCUGCCUGCAAGUUGGUACAGAGCCGAAACCCAACUGUCUUCCAAUGGAGGUUUGUGCAAAUGGAGGCCAAGUUGCUGUUGUGGUGGUAUGGUUGGUAGGUUAUGGUUUCACGUUCCACUGCAGAUUAAGAAGGCUCUCAAGGGUCUGAGAGUUGAGGUCUCCCACCGAGGAGAGGUGCGCAGGAAGUACCGCAUCAAUGGCUUGACAAAGCAGUCUAGCAGAGAUUUGACCGGCGAAACCAAGACUGUGAGGGACUACUUUCGAGAAACCUGCAAGCUGCAACUAAGUUACAAUUUUCUCCCCUGCCUGCAAGUUGGUACAGAGCAGAAACCCAACUAUCUUCCAAUGGAGGUUUGUGCAUUGGAGGCCAAGUUGCUGCUGUGGUGGUAUGGCAAGACUGUGAACUCAACUCAUCGGCUGUGGCAAAAUGAUCUCCCUACAAGUACUAACUAAUUUGCAUAUAUGCUCUGGUUCUCAUGUUACUGUAUGAAUUAGGUGCCUCCAAAUAAAUUCUCAAAAAAUAGAAGUUUUAAAAAAUAAGUUAGUUCGGAUUUAGCACGCGGGUCUUGUUGCAAUUGCUUGCGUCAAUUCUAGCUCAUUUCUUUGUAUUCUCUUAGUUAGUUCAUUAUUCAGGCUCUGCUACUUAUCAUCAUUUAUUAUUUCUUCACAUGCAUUAUUCUGAACCUUGAGUCCAUCUUCACAUGCAUUUGUUGUUCUGAUAUAUCAUAAGUUUGAGCCCAACUCUUCGGUUGUUUUUUGAACCUUUGACAUAUAUUACCUGAUUGGUACAUUUGCUCGAUGGAGGACCUACCGGAGGCUCUGGUGACAAAGAUUCUCAAGAGGAUCACCAAACUCUCUUUCCCUUGUGUCAAAGCAGCUCUACAAAAUAGAGGGGAAUCAAAGGGGUGCUAUCCACGUUGGUUCCGAUCUUUGCACUGCUAGAAAACCACUGACAUCAUUGUGCACCUGGUUCCCGAAUUUGCGGAAAUUUGAAAUCAAUUACUCUGGCUGGAUACCAGAGUUGUGCAAAUGGAAGCCAAGUUUCUGCUGUGGUGGUAUGGUAACUGGUUGAAGCUGUGAAGAAGAUAAUCAAGUACGUAUGAUGCAGUUUAGGAGAGUUGUCAAAGAGCACGGUUAGUUUGUUCUGUUAUAGUACUAAAUUCAUAGAUGGUGGUGUAGCUGUACUGUUAUGUCGUGUUCAGCAGCGAUAAGACCAUUGCUCUUCAUGUUUUUAGUUUAAUCUGUACUAAUUCAGAAAGAUUAGUACAUAUUGGUCGUUGUUAGCCACCUGAAGUUAAUGGGAGAGGAAGGAGCAUGAGUGGUCUUUUCUUUUCGUUUCACAAAUUAGCCACAAGUUAAAUGCAGGGUGAGAGCAUGUGCAGAUUAUUUUUUUACCGACUGGAACAGGCUAUCAAAGAUUGUUCUAUCCGUCUUGGAAAAAUGUGUUCAAAGUGAAUUCUUUCAAGAGCUGAUCCUAUUUAUUAACUUAUGUAAGUCCUUAGAUUCUAUGGCCGCAAUCCAGAAGCUUUAUGAGAUUUGCCAAGUAUAUUAUGAAAAACGGUCGUCAUCUCCUGAAGCCGUCGAAAAUGUUUGUGUCGUAUUAGUUAAGAACUACAUGGAGAAUUGACACUAACCAAACUAAAUGCCUUACUAUUGAUUACCACAUAUUAUAUUGUGAGCAUGGGAUGUAUUUCUAUGCUUGGAGAAAAACACAUUAUUAUUAGUUACAUUAUAUUUCGUUAUUGGAUGUGUUCCUAUACUAUCUUGAAUAAACAGAAACUUCAUAUAUAAUUACCCGAGCAGGUGCGCCACAUUGUUCUUUUUAUUUUAUUUUGUAGUAACAAAAGGGCAAUGGCACUCACAUUUGAAUAUCCACAUCGUCGACUGGCGGGCCGAAGGAGGGCACCCUAGAGCGGAUGCCCACUCAACCGGGCCUUGGCAAGGACACCUGCCUCAUGCCGUUGCACGCUCAUGUGCUCUACUAUUCUGAAUCGUUGGGCAGAGGAGGAGUAGGAGGCCAUGGGUGGCAUUGGGUCUGACCAAUGGCUUGAGGACCUUCUUGACAACAAGACUACCGUGCCAUGCUGUCGUGUUGGGUCAUCACGGUGACCAUGGACAGUCGGGCUUCAUGGUGGGGCUGGGAUGGACCCCUGGUAGGAUCGUAGGCAAUGUCGCUUGCUCUGCCACGUCAUUAUACGCGAUCCAGGGCAAGAGGAUAUCAACCAGGACACAGUUGUAUCCCCAUUGCAACGCAGAGGUUUCAUAUUACAAAAGAUAUUAUUCUCUAAUAUGAAUCUGUAAGAAAAGAUAUGUCAUACAUUUGUGGAAAUUGAUAAUGAUGUGCAUGCUAUUUCUGAAAAGAGAAGCUUCUAUGUUGGCUGGCAUCCCUGGUGGUAGUUUAAGAUAUCUAGCAAAUGAAAGGGCGCCUCAUAAUUCAUUGGAUAUAGACCAGUAGGGUCAAUUACAUAUAGUUGGCUGUAAAUGACUUUCAGUUUCUAGCUUAAAUAUAGUUUUAGAUAUCUAGAUAUGUACUCUUUAACAGUAUGAUGUGCUUGAUGGUGGCCCUAUGUGUUGGUUGAAAUUAUCACGUUCUUUACGAGCAGUUGCAGUGCUCUUAUUAUUUUAUUUCCACAAAUAUCAUCACAUUUUCCCUCAAUCUUAAGA